AGAGUUUGAUCAUGGCUCAGAACGAACGCUGGCGGCGUGCUUAACACAUGCAAGUCGAGUGCGCGCCUGUAGCAAUACAGGUGGCGCACGGCGCACGGGUGCGUAACACGUGGGCAAUCUGCCCUCUGAUGGGGAAUAACCCGCCGAAAGGCGGGCUAAUACCGCAUAACAUUCCUUGGUCUCAUGAUCGAGGACUCAAA
rnacentral:rRNA from 1 species